rnacentral:rRNA from 1 species
AGAGUUUGAUCCUGGCUCAGAUUGAACGCUGGCGGAAUGCUUUACACAUGCAAGUCGAACGGCAGCAUAGGUGCUUGCACCUGAUGGCGAGUGGCGAACGGGUGAGUAAUACAUCGGAACGUGCCCAGUCGUGGGGGAUAACGUAGCGAAAGUUACGCUAAUACCGCAUACGAUCUACGGAUGAAAGCGGGGGACCGUAAGGCCUCGCGCGAUUGGAGCGGCCGAUGUUAGAUUAGGUAGUUGGUGGGGUAAAGGCUCACCAAGCCGACGAUCUAUAGCUGGUCUGAGAGGAUGAUCAGCCACACUGGGACUGAGACACGGCCCAGACUCCUACGGGAGGCAGCAGUGGGGAAUUUUGGACAAUGGGCGCAAGCCUGAUCCAGCCAUUCCGCGUGCAGGACGAAGGCCUUCGGGUUGUAAACUGCUUUUGUACAGAACGAAAAGCUCUGGGUUAAUACCUCGGGGUCAUGACGGUACUGUAAGAAUAAGCACCGGCUAACUACGUGCCAGCAGCCGCGGUAAU